GAUGAACGCUGGCGGCGUGCCUAAUACAUGCAAGUCGAGCGAACAGACGAGGAGUUUGCUCCUCUGACGUUAGCGGCGGACGGGUGAGUAACACGUGGAUAACCUCCCUAUAAGACUGGGAUAACUUCGGGAAACCGUAGCUAAUACCUGAUAAUAUAUUGAACCGCAUGGUUCAAUAGUGAAAGACGGUUUUGCUGUCACUUAUAGAUUGAUUCGCGCCGCAUUAGCUAGUUGGUAAGGUAACGGCUUACCAAGGCAACGAUGCGUAGCCGACCUGAGAGGGUGAUCGGCCACACUGGAACUGAGACACGGUCCAGACUCCUACGGGAGGCAGCAGUAGGGAAUCUUCCGCAAUGGGCGAAAGCCUGACGGAGCAACGCCGCGUGAGUGAUGAAGGUCUUCGGAUCGUAAAACUCUGUUAUUAGGGAAGAACAAAUGUGUAAGUAACUAUGCACGUCUUGACGGUACCUAAUCAGAAAGCCACGGCUAACUACGUG
rnacentral:rRNA from 1 species